GUGGGCGACAAGGUUAGCUUGAGGACAACCAGGAUGAUUGACAAGUCAUGACUAGAGAAACAACUAUCAUUGGAGCUUGCAAAGACUAAAGUGUCCUCAACUUUAAGUUGCUACUUGCAAUCUACUUUACUCGGAUCUAUCCCACUUUUCUCUAUUCCUUCUUUCAGUCAUGACUGAUGGCUCUUCAGUCUUGUCCUCUUACCCUGCCGCCACUGCAACAAACUAAAUUCUCACACCUCCAACGUUCAUUACAUACGCAAGGAAGUGGCACACAAAACCAUGAAAUAGGAGACCUCAAGGACAAUGAUUUGCCGGCAAUGGAAGCUCUAGUUCUUCUCUCAAGUUUAAGCAGUGGGGCUGGAAUGGCAAAUAAUGGAGCGAGUAUCGAGCUAAGUAUAGGCAUCCAAGCGGGUGGUGGGACAGGGUUGCAUUGACAGCGAUCACUAUAAAUAUUUGCCCUGCCAUAAAUGGUGGGGUACGGAUGGAGAUCAGAUUUCUGGGCUGAUAUAAGUGUGGAAAAUCCAUCCCCUGCAUUGACAAUAGAUGAGUAGCACAUUGACAUUUCUAUACAAGCCUACUUGGGUUUCUUGCUAAAAUUAAUUUACAUUAGCCAUCUCUUUUAUUUUUUGGUAUAGGAAUUAUACAUACAGGUUUUUUUAAUAUAAAAUGAAGCUGUCUAUGCAUUAUGCAAUAUGAUAAUUGAUAGAAGUUUGUGGUCGCAUGCGAAAGUUGUAAUGGACCCGAAUAGUAUCGUAAAAUUGAAUUUUCAUUGAUAAUUAAAUUUUACAAGUGUGUUUGUGAGAGCUCAUGUCUCUCAUUCACCUUGGUAGUUA